rnacentral:rRNA from 1 species
GCCAACGCCGUGCCCAUCACCGAGGAAGAAUCCAGGGUGCACCGCUACGGCGUCACCGCCGAUGACUGCCUCGCGCAUCUCGAGCUGGCGUUCAAGUUCGACACGCUCACCGACGACGUCCACGGUGUGGUCGGACAGACGUACCGCUCCGACUACGUCAACCAUUUCGACGUGAGGGCAUCCAUGCCCACCAUGGGAGGAGAUGCCACCUUCACCACCUCCAGCAUAUUCGCCGCCGACUGCAGCGUGGCGCGCUAUGGAGUCAGCCGUGGAAACGACGGUGCCGCGGUGCUAUCUGAGCUCGCUGGUGUCACCUGUGCCAGUGGCAUGGACGGCAAGGGUGUGGUGUGCAAGAAGUAA